GCUUCGGUAAUGCAACGGUUUAGCACGCGCUCUCGGAAAGAGUGAAAUCUGGGUUCAAAUCUCGGUUGACGCA